CGCGUUGUUAUCGUGGUCACGUCAGAUAGCAUUGUCCUACAAAACGCUAAAGCUUAUUAAACAACUUUACACAGGACAAAUGGUAUCGUGUUUAUCCGUUGAAUCAAAACAGAAGACGGUUAUUUGUUAAGGCUUAACGAAAAAAAAAAAGGUCGCGCGAAGAUUGUGUACGAUUAUAGCUAGUAGCUAACGUUAGCUAGGUUACGAAGCCAAAUAUCUGCAUAAAGUUACUGCAUGAAGUUACUUAACAGGGACAACAUGUCUAGCCUUAACAGUCGCAAUAUUUUCGAGAAAGAAACAACGUCGAUUAUGACUUUUAUCGUUGAGACGGCAGUAGCAGAAAUUAGCCAACUGUUUUUGGACAACGAAUCAAUCGCGGCGCCAAUACCAAGUAACCUGGGAAAAAAGGCCAGUAAGUUAAUUAAGAACAAAUUCUUAUUUACAAUGAUGGCCUACCCCGGUCAAACCCUAACCCGGACGACGCUGGGC
ensembl:lncRNA